rnacentral:rRNA from 1 species
ACCUGCUGAUCAUCAGUGGCAGCAUCUAGCCAAACAUGGCUGACCUCAGAAGCUAGGUAAGACUGGACUUGUUUAGCACUUGGAUGGGCAACCACCAGGAAAUCCCAGGACUGUAGGUU